rnacentral:rRNA from 1 species
GAAUUUUAUAUAAUUAUUUGUAUUUAUUUUAAAAGAUUAUUUAAUAAGUAAGUAUAUUUGAUUGGGAGGAUUAUUAAAUUUAGAUAACUUUAAUUUUAAUGAAUAUUAUAGAUUAAUAUUUAAUAGAUGGAAUGAUUAUUAAAUUAAAUAAAAAUUAAUUACCUUAGGGAUAACAGCGUAAUAUUUUUAUAAAGAUCUUAUUAAUAAAGAUGAUUGC